rnacentral:rRNA from 1 species
CAGCAGCCGCGGUAACACGGAGGGUGCAAGCGUUAUCCGGAUUUAUUGGGUUUAAAGGGUCCGUAGGCGGACUUAUAAGUCAGUGGUGAAAGCCUGUCGCUUAACGAUAGAACUGCCAUUGAUACUGUAAGUCUUGAGUAUAUUUGAGGUAGCUGGAAUAAGUAGUGUAGCGGUGAAAUGCAUAGAUAUUACUUAGAACACCAAUUGCGAAGGCAGGUUACCAAGAUAUAACUGACGCUGAGGGACGAAAGCGUGGGUAGCGAACAGGAUUAGAUACCCCGGUAGUCCCUGUCUCUUAUAC